rnacentral:lncRNA from 1 species
GCAGAGUGCUGAUGGUUCAGGGUCUCUUAGGGCUACAGUCACCUGGAGUCCACAUCCACCGAGGUAGGCAAGAGGCCUUGCUGCUGGUGUGUCCUCAAACAGGGCAUCUGGUCCCCUCCAGAGAAGGUGGCAGAAGAGAGGGCAAGUGCAGGCCACCACACCUUUAUGUGAGUCUCCAGCCCCAGCCCACGUGGAGGAGAGGGAAUCAGCCUCCACACUUUGGAGAGAGAAAUAGCAAAGAACACUGGGCCUAUUUUAAAAGCACCAGAAGCCAAUCUAGAAGAAGGAUUUUAAGAAUAUCCUCAAGUGUGAUAGUCCAGGUGACAGUGCCAGGAAGCCCUCAGCACAGCACACCGCCUGUAACCACUGACAGCUGGCAUGGGGCUUGA